rnacentral:rRNA from 1 species
AUUGAACGCUGGCGGCAUGCCUUACACAUGCAAGUCGAACGGCAGCACGGGAGCAAUCCUGGUGGCGAGUGGCGAACGGGUGAGUAAAGUAUCGGAACGUGCCCAGUCGUGGGGGAUAACGUAGCGAAAGUUACGCUAAUACCGCAUACGAUCUAUGGAUGAAAGCGGGGGAUCGCAAGACCUCGCGCGAUUGGAGCGGCCGAUAUCAGAUUAGGUAGUUGGUGGGGUAAAGGCUCACCAAGCCGACGAUCUGUCGCUGGUCUGAGAGGACGACCAGCCACACUGGGACUGAGACACGGCCCAGACUCCUACGGGAGGCAGCAGUGGGGAAUUUUGGACAAUGGGCGAAAGCCUGAUCCAGCCAUGCCGCGUGCAGGAUGAAGGCCUUCGGGUUGUAAACUGCUUUUGUACGGAACGAAAAGGUUUGGCCUAAUAAGCUGAGCUCAUGACGGUACCGUAAGAAUAAGCACCGGCUAAUUACGUGCCAGCCGCCGCGGUAA